GGGGCGGGGUCUCUAACCCUAUUACGGAUUGCCAAUAAGCCACGCUUAUUUAAAGGACAGGCGAAAGCGAAGGGCGGCUGGGGUCCUGUUAGCAAUUGCCCGGUGCGCGGCUUGUAGCUGUGUGGGACCAUUAGUCCCGGUAUAUUUCCCCCGGUAUAAGUAUUUUACUGUUUUUAGCAUGUGAUAGUUUGAAACUCAGGAUCAUUGUGGAUUUGUUUUGCCAAGAAUGUGGGUUUGAUGUUCGGGACCACCGUACAGUUGGCUGGUUGGUUUCGUUUCGUUAAGGUUGUUGGAUGAUGGUGACUAGUCGCUGUUCUCUUUUGGGUUUUCUUUUUUGUAAAAUUGACUGCUCCCUGUGGUGAAUGUAUGUUAAAUCCCUAGCCAGCUGGUGUUUUGUUUCUUUUCGAAUUAUUAAGUUUGUGUAAUUUGGUUUAAUGGUUGGCUAGGGGAUUUUGUUUUUAUUUUUAUUUUUCCUUUCUCUUUUUAAGUACAUUUGAUUGUCUGUGUCUUCCUGUACCCUUUGGGUAUACCCCUUGGGUAGCUUCCCACCAAUUUGUGGGGAAUCAGAGAUGGGGAUUGAUAGAGCCCCAACAGGUUUUGUGUGCUUAAUUGUGUGAUGUAUUGAUAUUGAGGGUGCAUUAUUAAUGACUUGUGGUGGGUUUAUGGGGCGGAGAUUGCUGUGCUCAUACAGUUUGCAGUGAAACUACUCUUCCCUGUAGGAAGCUCUAUUAUCUUUUGUCUGCUGAGUAUACCAUCUGAAGGAGGCUGCUCUGGGGGACUGUGUCCGGUCAGGGUGAACGACCCAAAUUAUUUUUAUGUUCUGUUAAAUAAAGUUUAAUGUGUUUUCUAUUUUAUGCUUACUGUGGUGGAUUUUCUUUGUAUGCACCUGAGUUGCCUGGGCAUUCGGGUUGCUACAUUUUGGCGCUGUGAGCAGGGCUGCGAUUAUUUUGCAGAUUUGUGUUUUUGGGAGCAGUUCAGUUGUUUGUUUUUUGUUUUUUACAUUUUUUUUUAUAAGUUAGAGAACAGCGGCUAGAAAGAUCAGCCUCCUCUUCUGCAUCACCGUCUGGUCGCUCGGCAAGCCUUCAAAAUGGAAGAGGAGCUGCAACGACUACGUGCUCAAGUGGAGCAGCUUGCGUCGGAAAAUCAAAGACUCUUGGGGCCAAGUCAAGGUGGGAAUGUCGGAAGGACAAGCUAGUGGGGGGGAUGUUUCUUCAUCACGCAGAGAACAAGCUGUGUAUUUUCCCAGAGAACGUAAAUGCUCAAAGUUUUCUGGAUUUUCAGCUGUUGGGGCAUUGUCUGUGGAAGAAUGGAUAGAGGAGGCUCAGAGUUGUAUUAGGUCAAGGUAUAUGUCUGAAUGGGACAAAGCUCUCUUUCUUUUGGAUCAUUUAGAAGGAGAGGCCCGUAAUGAAAUUAAAUAUCGGCCUCAGGGAGUGAGGGAAAAUUCUGAACAAAUUUUUGAGGUUUUAAAAGAAGUGUAUGGAUGUUCAAAAUCAUAUGUUUAUUGGCAGCAAAGGUUUUUUGAUCGAAAGCAGAGGGAUGGGGAAUCAUUAUACGAGUUUUCACAUGCCUUGUUGGCUCUAAUGGAACGGGUAGAGCAGUGUAAGCCAGGUGCUAUACCCAAUACCGAGACUGUUGUUAGAGAUCAGUUUUGUGAAAAUGUGCGUGACUCUAUGCUUCGCAGGGAGCUGAAAAGGUUGGUACGAAGUAGAGAGACCAUGUCACUCUUAGAAGUACGACGGGAGGCUGUCCAGUGGGCAACCUAACCGAGACAAGCAGGUACGCUCUACCCCAUAUACUUAAGAGACACAUGUUACACCUAGAUGUGAGGCUCUUUGUGUUCAGUCUUCUACAGAGUUGAUAGAACUUAAGAAUAUAGUCCUGAAACAACAGGCACAGUUGGACUUGUUGGUAAAGCACCUCGCUCCUGCUAUUAGUAAACCUUCUGGUCAGAACAAUCGAUUUAAGCGUGCACCGGAUGGUAGACCAAUUUGUAUUAAAUGUAACCGACCUGGGCAUAUUGCUCGGUACUGUGAUACUGGUCUGGAUACUCAUGGGGGGGGGGACCGGUUAGAGAACCCUCUGGGCUGUCGGAAAACUAGUGACCCCCAGCGUAUUGAGCCAUACGCUGGGAGGAACGGUAGAGGGCUCCUGUGUAGAUUCUUCAGUUUAUGAUCGGUUAGUAGGACAAUGUCCUGCUUUAGGUGUAAAGAUGGAUAAUGUGAAUGUUCCAUGUUUAGUGGACACGGGUUCUAUGGUCACGACUGUGACCGAGAGUUUCUUUAAUAAGUAUCUUUCUCAUGUAAAAAAGCAAGAGUGUGAGUGGCUUGGUUUAAAAGCUGCUAAUGGGCUUGAUAUUCCUUAUAUAGGUUAUAUGGAAUUAGACGUGAAUGUUUUAAAUCAGUGCAUUCCAAGGCGUGGUAUUUUGAUUGUAAAAGAUCCUAUACAUACAGCAUUACAAACUCGUAAGACCAUCACCCCAGGUAUCUUGGGGAUGAAUGUUCUGAGGGAAUGUUAUCAGAGUCUUUUUGAUCAAUAUGGGGCUGGGUUAUUCCAGACCCCGCUAAUACAAUCAGCCACUCCGGGGUUUCGGCGUGCACUUAGGCAGUGUGAGAAAACUGAGGCCGUUCUUAAUUCAACAACUGCAUUUAAGGUAAAGGUGUUAGGAGAUCAGCCUGUUUGUAUCGCUGCUGGAACUCUUUCUAUGGUACCUGUGACAUGUCCCCAGUUUCCUUUAGCAGAAUUUUUGUUGGAGCCUUUGGGCCCAGAAGAAGGUACCCUCCCUGAGGGGUUACUUGUCUCCCCAGCACUCCUACAAGCAGAGUACGGUA